rnacentral:rRNA from 1 species
GAUGAACGCUGGCGGCGUGCUUAACACAUGCAAGUCGAACGAGAAGUGGAGACGGAAACCUUCGGGCGGAAGACUUUACUUCGAGUGGCGGACGGGUGAGUAACGCGUGGGUAACCUGCCUCAUACAGGGGGAUAACAGUUGGAAACGACUGUUAAUACCGCAUAAGACCACAGCACCGCAUGGUGCGGGGGUAAAAACUCCGGUGGUAUGAGAUGGACCCGCGUUCGAUUAGCCAGUUGGCGGGGGAACGGCCCACCAAAGCGACGAUCGAUAGCCGAUCUGAGAGGAUGACCGGCCACAUUGGGACUGAGACACGGCCCAAACUCCUACGGGAAGCAGCAGUGGGGAAUAUUGCACAAUGGGGGAAACCCUGAUGCAGCGACGCCGCGUGAGUGAAGAAGUAUUUCGGUAUGUAAAGCUCUAUCAGCAGGGAAGAAAAUGACAGUACCUGAGGAAGAAGCCCCGGCUAACUACGUG